UACGUAGGGUCCGAGCGUUGUCCGGAAUUAUUGGGCGUAAAGAGCUCGUAGGCGGUUUGUCGCGUCUGCUGUGAAAACCUAAGGCUCAACCUUGGGCUUGCAGUGGGUACGGGCAGACUAGAGUGCGGUAGGGGUGACUGGAAUUCCUGGUGUAGCGGUGAAAUGCGCAGAUAUCAGGAGGAACACCGGUGGCGAAGGCAGGACUCUGGGCCGAAUACUGAC
rnacentral:rRNA from 1 species